UGAUCCUGGCUCAGGAUGAACGCUAGCGUGGCGCCUAACACAUGCAAGUCGAACGAAUUUAUAUUCGUGGCAAACGGGUGAGUAACACGUGCUUAAUCUGCCCAUGAAGUGGGGGAUACCUGUCGAAAGGCAACUAAUCCCCCAUACGUUCCGGUGAAUGAAAAACAACCGGAAGAAAGGUUUACCGCUUCAGGAGGAGGGCGCGGACUAUUAGCUAGUUGGUAAGGUAAAGGCUUACCAAGGCGAUGAUGGAUAGCUGGUCUGAGAGGAUGAUCAGCCACAAUGGAACUGAGACACGGUCCAUACCCCUACGGGGGGCAGCAGUGGGGAAUAUUGCACAAUGGAGGAAACUCUAAUGCAGCGACCACGCGUGGAGGAUGAAGCAUUAAGGUGUGUAAACUCCUUUUCUGGAGGAAGACGACUGACGGUACUCCAGGAAUAAGGGACGGCUAACUACGUGCCAGCAGCCGCGGUAAUACGUAGGUCCCAAGCGUUAUCCGGAUUUACUGGGCGUAAAGCGUCCGUAGCCGGUCAUAUAAGUCUGAUUUCAAAUACCGGAGCUCAACUUCGGAAAGGGAUCAGAUACUGUAUAACUAGAGUGAGAUAGAGGGUGGUAGAAUUUCCAGUGGAGGGGUGAAAUCCGUUGAUAUUGGAAGGAAUACCGAAAGCGAAGGCAGCCACCUAUAUCUUUACUGACGGUCAGGGACGAAAGCAUGGGUAGCAAACGGGAUUAGAUACCCCGGUAGU
rnacentral:rRNA from 1 species